rnacentral:rRNA from 1 species
GGCUCAGGAUGAACGCUAGCUACAGGCUUAACACAUGCAAGUCGAGGGGCAGCAGGGAUUUAGCUUGCUAAAUCCGCUGGCGACCGGCGCAAGGGUGCGUAACGCGUGAGCAACUUGCCCGUUUCAGGGGGAUAACCGGUGGAAACGCCGACUAAUACCCCAUAGUAUCAUGAUCAGGCAUCUUUUCAUGAUUAAAGAAUUUCGGAAACGGAUAGGCUCGCGUGACAUUAGCUAGAUGGCGGGGUAACGGCCCACCAUGGCGACGAUGUCUAGGGGUUCUGAGAGGAAGGUCCCCCACACUGGAACUGAGACACGGUCCAGACUCCUACGGGAGGCAGCAGUGAGGAAUAUUGGUCAAUGGUCUGACGACUGAACCAGCCAUGCCGCGUGAAGGUCACGGCCCUAUGGGUCUUAAACUUCUUUUGUAAGGGAGCAAUAAGCCUCACGUGUGGGGUGAUGAGAGUACCUUACGAAUAAGCAUCGGCUAACUCCGUG